rnacentral:rRNA from 1 species
UACGUAGGGGGCUAGCGUUAUCCGGAAUUACUGGGCGUAAAGGGUGCGUAGGUGGUUUCUUAAGUCAGAGGUGAAAGGCUACGGCUCAACCGUAGUAAGCCUUUGAAACUGGGAAACUUGAGUGCAGGAGAGGAGAGUGGAAUUCCUAGUGUAGCGAUGAAAUGCGUAGAUAUUAGGAGGAACACCAGUUGCGAAGGCGGCUCUCUGGACUGUAACUGACACUGAGGCACGAAAGCGUGGGGAGCAAACAGGAUUAGAUACCCUGGUAGUCCCUGA